AUGUGAUGUGACAUGCCCGUUUGGGUUUUACUCUGAUGUUGAAUUGUUAUAAUUUAAUUGAUUUUGGGAAACGGGGUGUUACAUGCACG
rfam:Medicago truncatula strain A17 chromosome 7, whole genome shotgun sequence.